rnacentral:rRNA from 1 species
AUUGAACGCUGGCGGCAGGCCUAACACAUGCAAGUCGAGCGAGCGGCGGACGGGUGUGUUAUGUCUGGGAAACUGCCUGAUGGAGGGGGAUAACUACUGUAAACGGUAGCUAAUACCGCAUACCAUCAGAUGUGCCCAGAUGGGAUUAGCUCGUAGGUGGGGUAAUGGCUCACCUAGGCGACGAUCCCUAGCUGGUCUGAGAGGAUGACCAGCCGCAAUGGAACUGGGACACGGUCCGGACUCCUACGGAAGGCAGCAGUGGGGAAUAUUGCACAAUGGGCGCAAGCCUGAUGCAGCCAUGCCGCGUGUGUGAAGAAGGCCUUCGAGUUUUAAAGCACUUUCAGCGGGGAGGCGUUACCCGCAGAAGAAGCGCCGGCUAACUCCGUGCCAGCAGCCGCGGUAAUAC